CGUGCCCUACGGGGCGCAGCAGUGAGGAAUAUUGGUCAAUGGGCGGAAGCCUGAACCAGCCAAGUCGCGUGAGGGAAUAAGGCCCUACGGGUCGUAAACCUCUUUUGCCGGGGAGCAAGGGCGGGGACGUGUCCCGGCCCGGAGAGUACCCGGAGAAAAAGCAUCGGCUAACUCCGCGCCAGCAGCCGCGGUAAUACGGAGGAUGCGAGCGUUAUCCGGAUUUAUUGGGGUUAAAGGGUGCGUAGGCGGGCUUUUAAGUCGUCGGUAAAAAUUCGGGGCUCAACCCCGUCCGGCCGUUGAAACUG
rnacentral:rRNA from 1 species